UACGGAGGAUCCAAGCGUUAUCCGGAUUUAUUGGGUUUAAAGGGUGCGUAGGUGGCCUGUUAAGUCAGGGGUGAAAGACGGUAGCUUAACUAUCGCAGUGCCCUUGAUACUGGUUGGCUUGAGUACAGAUGAGGUAGGCGGAAUUGACAGUGUAGCGGUGAAAUGCUUAGAUAUUGUCAAGAACACCUAUUGCGAAGGCAGCUUACUAAACUGUAACUGACGCUGAGGCACGAAAGCGUGGGGAUCAAACAGG
rnacentral:rRNA from 1 species